rfam:Pan troglodytes isolate Yerkes chimp pedigree #C0471 (Clint) chromosome 6, whole genome shotgun sequence.
GCCGGGCGUGAUGGCUCACACCUGUAAUCCCAGCACUUUGGGAGGCUGAGACGGGUGGAUCACCUGAGGUCAGGAGUUCGAGACUGGCCUGGCCAAUAUGAUGAAAACCCGUCUCUA